GAUUAAGAACGUAGCGAAAUGCGAUAAGUAAUGUGAAUUGCAGAAUUCAGUGAAUCAUCGAAUCUUUGAACGCACAUUGCGCCCGCCAGUAUUCUGGCGGGCAUGCCUGUCCGAGCGUCAUUUCAACCAUCAAGCCCCCGGGCUUGUGUUGGGGACCUGCGGCUGCCCGCAGGCCCUGAAAACCAGUGGCGGGCUCGCUGUCACACCGAGCGUAGUAGCAAUCACCUCGCUCAGGGCGUGCUGCGGGUUCCGGCCGUUAAACAGCCUUACAAAACCCAAGGUUGACCUCGGAUCAGGUAGGAAGACCCGCUGAACUUAAGCAUAUCAAUAAGCGGAGGA
rnacentral:misc_RNA from 1 species